UGGUGGACGCGGGCGCGGGCCGGGCCCGCGCGGAGCAGCAGCAGCAGCAGCAGCAGCCCCAGCACGGCCCCAGCGCCGCGGGCCGCCAUCUUUGUUCCAGCGUCAGCGUCCCCCGCGCGCCGCUUCCGGGGAGGGGUGAAGUGGCUGUUUCCAGCUCAGCCGUGCAUCUACCAGCAAGUUCCAGCUUCUUCCUGGGAGCUAUGGCAACAGCAGACGUCUGAACAUCAGGUAGUCCAAACAACAGGAAAAUUGCUUUUCUAUUUAAAGCCAGGGUUAAAGUAUUGAUUUUGAGUAUAGCCAGAAAAAUAUGUAACAAACAAAGGGAUUUCUGCUGCUUUACAGGAUUCGUUUUGCAGCUAUUUAAAUUAGUAGUUGUAGUCACAUUUACAAAUAAAACAAAAAGCAGAUUGGGCCUGGUUUCCAUGACUUGUUGCUCAAAAUUAGAGUAACACAAGAAGCAAAGUGAACACAAAUAGAGGCAAUUAAUAUGGGGUUUUGGCUGACACAUUGCUAAAAAACCUAUAAAAAUUGAAAGACUAUGCAAUGGGAAGCCAUCAAUGCCAAUAAAUCUAAUUUUUCAGUGAGGAGCCUUAUGUUUUCAGCUCCCAAAACUCAGACAUUCUGAUUUUCCCUUUCAGUGUGUGGAGUAACAGCUGUACAAGUUCUGUUGUCUAGAGACAGAUAAACAAUUGGACUGGCAAGUGAGGGUGAAAAGGGAGAGAAAAAUCAAUGGCCUUGACCUUUUAUUUCAUCAAGAUUCUGUAGUAUGUCCCAUCUUUAUUUAGAGAGAUGAUUCAGAUGUCCCUGUACAUUUUUCCCCACAAUUUCAUUUCCUCCUUGUAUAUUCUUAGGUGAAAAAACAAACAGACAAAUCUCACCAACAGCCAAAGAAACCUGGACUGAUACCAGGAAAUAUCUGGAAGCAUGAAAAAAAAAAAUCUGUUUUUCUAGCAAUGUUCUUUCUCUGGGCAGUACGUGUGUGUGCCACUAGAUGUCCUGGCAGCAUCAGCCCUUGCACAGCACGGACCUGCAAACAUCGGAUGAUUUAUUUUAAAAAACUCCGAGCCUUUUUUAGUCUGAGAAUGGGAGCUCUCUUCAGAACCUUCCUUCAGAAGAAAAAUCAUCUUUAGCCUGAGGAUGAUUGCUAACAAUCAGGGAUUUGUAUGCAACAGAAUGGAAAUUUUCUGAAGAUCUUUUUUUUU